UUGGAGGGCAAGUCUGGUGCCAGCAGCCGCGGUAAUUCCAGCUCCAAUAGCGUAUAUUAAAGUUGUUGCAGUUAAAAAGCUCGUAGUUGAAUUUCGGGAUCAAUAUUUCGGUCAUGCCGUUGGUAUGCACUGUUAUCAUUGAUUUCUCACCUUCUAAAGAACCGUAAUGCCAUUAAUUUGGUGUUACGGGGAAUUAGGACUGUUACCUUGAAAAAAUUAGAGUGUUUAAAGCAGGCUCACGCUUGAAUACAUUAGCAUGGAAUAAUGAAAUAGGACAUCCGAUUCUAUUUUGUUGGUUUCUAGGAUCGAUGUAAUGAUUAAUAGGGAUAGUUGGGGGCAUUAGUAUUCAAUUGUCAGAGGUGAAAUUCUUGGAUUUAUUGAAGACUAACUACUGCGAAAGCAUUUGCCAAGGAUGUUUUCAUUAAUCAAGAACGAAAGUUAGGGGAUCGAAGACGAUCAGAUACCGUCGUAGUCUUAACCAUAAACUAUGCCGACUAGGGAUCGGAUGAUGUUAAUUUUUUAAUGACUCAUUCGGCGCCCUACGGGAAAC
rnacentral:rRNA from 1 species